rnacentral:rRNA from 1 species
GACGAACGCUGGCGGCGUGCUUAACACAUGCAAGUCGAACGGAAAGGCCCUGCUUGCAGGGUGCUCGAGUGGCGAACGGGUGAGUAACACGUGGGUGAUCUGCCCCUUACUUUGGGAUAAGCCUGGGAAACUGGGUCUAAUACUGGAUAGGACCAUGCUGUAGGUGGUGUGGUGGAAAGAUUAGUUUCGGUAAGGGAUGAGCUCGCGGCCUAUCAGCUUGCUGGUGGGGUAAUGGCCUACCAAGGCGUCGACGGGUAGCCGGCCUGAGAGGGUGGACGGCCACAUUGCGACUGAGAUACGGCGCAGACUCCUACGGGAGGCAGCAGUGGGGAAUAUUGCACAAUGGGCGCAAGCCUGAUGCAGCGACGCCGCGUGGGGGAUGACGGCCUUCGGGUUGUAAACUCCUUUCAGCCAUGACGAAGCCCUUGUGGUGACGGUAGUGGUAGAAGAAGCACCGGCUAACUACGUG